rnacentral:lncRNA from 1 species
GACUUGGAUAUCUACUCUGUAAUUUCUAUUUCGUGCGGAUUUAGCAGUUGGGAUGGACGUGCUCAGUGUUUUUACCUUUUUUCGUCAUGUAAACUUUGUAUUGGACUUGGAUAUCUACUCUGUAAUUUCUAUUUCCUUGUGUUUUGAUGGUAUUAUAUCAUUAUCCUGAAUGUAACGUUAAGAAUUCAUAUGCAAUAAAUCCUAAUUUCAUUCACCCUCUCCAUCUUUUCUAUUUAUUUUUCCUUCUAUAUCAUUUUUUUUUUUUUAAAAGGAUCCUUCUCGAUCGAUCUUGGAGAUAAACUUCUAUUGUUUGAUCUCAGUACUUCUUUUAUGAUACUUUUGCAAUUAAAGAUUGGCCAGAUGUAUAAAAACCUAUGACUGUUCUAGCAAGCGAGAAGCUUCAAAUAGUCGAGUCACCUCCUCGAUGACAUAAGAACUGAAUAUUUUUAAUUUCAUGUACCUGAUCUUUGGCUAGGCUAACAACUCUCUAGGUGGGGGCUCAAUAUGCCUGACGGGUUGCCAUUGGGAAACCAUAGGCACU